ACCCGCAUAUUAUAGUACAGUACUACUAGGGUUUGGUUAUAAAUACCACAGACUCUCUCUCUCUCGGAUUUCAAUCGGCGCAUCUCUUUCCAAAUAUCAGCACUGGUACAUCCAACCAGACCCGCGGUUUCUUUGUUGCAUCGCCGCCAUGAGAGCUAAGUGGAAGAAGAAGCGCAUGAGGAGGUUGAAGAGAAAACGCCGAAAGAUGAGGCAGCGAUCUAAGUAAACAAUCGAGGCAUUUCACAGGGACGUCUCUCGAUCCUUCGGUGUCGUUGAUUUUCUCUCUCUUUGUCUCAGAUUUGCGUUGUUAGGUUUUGGCAUCUGACUCACAUUUGGUUUUAGUAUUGUCUUUUUAAUUUUAACUUUUAUUUUUAUAACAGUUGAUCUAUGGAUUCUACGCUUUAAUGAAAUUUGAGUUGUUAUUGAUAUCACU